AAUGUCUUAAUUCACUUAGGGCUUGGGCCAGCAUCUCUGGUGUGGCUUUCUACCUCUGCCAAUGCCACUCGCCUUGCACUCUGACAUCUCUGAGCCUUUGCUCUGUCUGCAGUUCUCUUCCCAAAUCAUCAUCUCCCUUGUCUAAACCCACUCAUCCUUCCAGGCCUAGCCUUCCUAGAUGUCCUAUGGAUGUGCCCUCCAAGGCUUGCACCUGCAUCUUCCUACCCUGUGCCAUGGUGGUUGGUGGCUGGGACUGUUUGGGGAACAGCUGGUUUGACAGAGACAUCUCUGGGGGCUGUGGGCAUAUGGACCCAUAAGCCAGAGGGAGACCUCUGCAAUGAACCUGGGACCCUUCCUGGGGUUGCUGUGGCUGGGGAGUGUCCUCCUCUCUUGCCCCUUCCCUCCCUCUAAUCCUGGUCCAGAUGCAGGAUUGCACACAUGGGGAAACUGAGGCCACAGUGGGCAUGACCUACGCAGGAUCCCCUAGCUAGAAAACCACAUAGCAGAUCUGGUUCCAAAGUUGGGCCCAUCUCCUGGCAUCUUCUAUUAGGCCUUAGUGUGGAUUGGGAUGGGCCAGGAAACCUCCCUCUUCCUUCCCAGUGCACCCACAUGAAAGAGCAGGGAAGGGCAAGCAGGCGCCCCAGGGGCAGCAACAGCAGGCACAGAUGCUCUGGGGUGGGCCCACCAGUCCCUGCUCAGCCUCCUUGCCAUGUGGGUAUCAUGCUUCUCUUGUUGUCUCUGAUGAAGGGGAGAAAUAGUGCUACAAUCCCAGCGUGAGGCAACCAUGAGGAAAUUCUUCCUCUAGUUUUCCUUGGCUUAGAACUAUCUUCUGAGGGUAUCCCCAGGAGGCCACAGGCCAGGCAUGCCCCUUCCCUAGGUCCUUGGGGAAGGUGUUCUAGGUUCCACAGGUGGGUUAAGCUGGGGGAGUCCUCCCUGGCUUUGCAGUAAGGGCUCUAGGCUUGAGCAUGGCUCAACCAGUGGCUGUGUCACUUUGGAUAGGUUAGCUAAUGUCUCUGAGCCCUGUCUACUCGUUGGUAACCUGAGCUUGGCCUGGGUGAGUUGAUGCUGCAGGACAAGCAGUUCUCAAUCCCAGCUCCCUGUCAGGGCCUGAGGAGGCAGUUAGCCCUGUGUCCCGUGUCCUGUGUCCCCAACCCUUCCAUGUAUCAGAAUGCCUGGGCUCCACCACAG
rnacentral:lncRNA from 10 species